GGACGAACGCUGGCGGCGUGCCUAAUACAUGCAAGUCGAGCGGACUAAAAGGGGCUUGCUCCUUUUAGUUAGCGGCGGACGGGUGAGUAACACGUGGGCAACCUGCCCGUAAGAUCGGGAUAACUUCGGGAAACCGGAGCUAAUACCGGAUAACACCGAAGACCGCAUGGUCUUUGGUUGAAAGGCGGCUUUGGCUGUCACUUACGGAUGGGCCCGCGGCGCAUUAGCUAGUUGGUGAGGUAACGGCUCACCAAGGCGACGAUGCGUAGCCGACCUGAGAGGGUGAUCGGCCACACUGGGACUGAGACACGGCCCAGACUCCUACGGGAGGCAGCAGUAGGGAAUCUUCCGCAAUGGACGAAAGUCUGACGGAGCAACGCCGCGUGAGCGAAGAAGGUCUUCGGAUUGUAAAGCUCUGUUGUUAGGGAAGAACAAGUACCGUUCGAAUAGGGCGGUACCGUGACGGUACCUAACGAGAAAGCCACGGCUAACUACGUGCCAGCAGCCGCGGUAUACCUAGUGGCAAGCGUUGUCCGAAUU
rnacentral:rRNA from 1 species